rnacentral:rRNA from 1 species
UGCAAGUCGAGGGGCCGUAGCAAUACGGCACCGGCAGACGGGAGAGUAACACGUGGGAACGUGCCCAUCAGUUCGGAACAACCCAGGGAAACUUGGGCUAAUACCGGAUACGCCCUUACGGGGAAAGAUUUAUCGCUGAUGGAGCGGCCCGCGUCUGAUUAGCUAGUUGGUGAGGUAACGGCUCACCAAGGCGACGAUCAGUAGCUGGUCUGAGAGGAUGAUCAGCCUCACUGGGACUGAGACACGGCCCAGACUCCUACGGGAGGCAGCAGUGGGGAAUAUUGGACAAUGGGCGCAAGCCUGAUCCAGCCAUGCCGCGUGGAUGAUGAAGGCCUUAGGGUUGUAAAAUCCUUUCGGCGGGGAAGAUAAUAACGGUACCCGCAGAAGAAGCCCCGGCUAACUUCGUGCCAGCAGCCGCGGUAAUACGAAGGGGGCUAGCGUUGCUCGGAAUCACUGGGCGUAAAGCGCACGUAGGCGGCUUUUUAAGUCAGGGGUGAAAUCCUGGAGCUCAACUCCAGAACUGCCUUUGAUACUGAGAAGCUUGAGUUCGGGAGAGGUGAGUGGAACUGCGAGUGUAGAGGUGAAAUUCGUAGAUAUUCGCAAGAACACCAGUGGCGAAGGCGGCCCACUGGCCCGAUACUGACGCUGAGGUGCGAAAGCGUGGGGA